UAUCUCUGUAGAGUCUGCAUAUCAAUAAGCGGAGGAAAAGAAACUAACAAGGAUUCCCCUAGUAACGGCGAGUGAAGCGGGAAGAGCAUCAAAUUUGAAAUCUUCAAGGUUUGACCUUGACGAAUUGUAGUUUAAAGAAGUGUUUUCGGUUAGAGGAGUAGUAAAAGUUCUUUGGAAUAGGACAUCAUAGAGGGUGAGAAUCCCGUAUUUGACUAUUCUUUCUAGCUUUGUGAUACACUUUCAAAGAGUCGGAUUGUUUGGGAAUGCAGUCCAAAAUGGGUGGUAAAUUUCAUCUAAAGCUAAAUAUUGGCGAGAGACCGAUAGCGAACAAGUACCGUGAGGGAAAGAUGAAAAGAACUUUGAAAAGAGAGUUAAACAGUACGUGAAAUUGUCAAAAGGGAAGCGUUUGACACCAGUGUUGUUUUUCCGAAAAUCAAUUAAAAAUUGAUUCAUGCCAGGUUGUAUUGACCUUAUCAGCUUGCAAUUUGGUUUUGGGUCUCUUUUUGAUGCACUUUUCGGUUAACAAGUCAACAUCAAUUUCCUUUGCUGUAAAAAGGUAAGAGGAAGGUGGCUUCAAUUUCGGUUGAAGUGUUUAUAGCCUUUUAUCUCUGCAGUCGGGGAGAUUGAGGUCUGCAGCGUAGAUCCUUCGGGGCUAGAUACACUUGAUGCUAGGUUAGUAGCUUUUCAUAGACAACUUGUUGACUAUGUUUAGUCAUGUAGGCUUACUCGCUAGUGCUAUUUUACCUACGCUUAGGAUGUUGAAGACUCUACAGAGAUA
rnacentral:rRNA from 1 species